AAAUAUAUAGUUCAGUUGAUAGCGCACAGGAUUAAAAAUCCAAAGGUCUUGGGUUCAAGUCCCAAUAUAUUUA